AAUAAGCGGAGGAAAAGAAACUAACAAGGAUUCCCCCAGUAACGGCGAGUGAAGAGGGAACAGCCCAAAUUUGUAAUCUGGCCCUUUUGGGGUCCGAGUUGUAAUCUCGAGAACUGUUUUCCGUGCCGGACCAUGUACAAGUCUGUUGGAAUAUAGCUUCAUAGAGGGUGAGAAUCCCGUACAUGACAUGGACCACCGGUGCUUUGUGAUACAGUCUCUAAGAGUCGAGUUGUUUGGGAAUGCAGCUCAAAUUGGGUGGUAAAUUCCAUCUAAGGCUAAAUAUUGGCGAGAGACCGAUAGCGAACAAGUACCGUGAGGGAAAGAUGAAAAGCACUUUGGAAAGAGAGUUAACAGUACGUGAAAUUGUUGAAAGGGAAACGCUUGAAGUCAGCCUUGUUCUUGGUUGUUCAGCCUUAGGGUGUAUUCAACUUUGAGCAGGCCAGCAUCAGUUUUGGGUGCCGGAUAAGGGCUUAGGAAAUGUGGCAGCUUAGGCUGUGUUAUAGUCCUUUGCUUGAUACGGUGCCUGGGACUGAGGAACGCAGCGAGCCUUUUGGCGGGUCCCCUCGGGGGCCUUCUCGCUUUGGAUGCUGGCGUAAUGGCUUUAAACGACCCGUCUUGAAAC
rnacentral:rRNA from 2 species